rnacentral:lncRNA from 1 species
GUCAAUCGUUUCAGCUUUUCUAGAUGUCGGCUCCCCUAGGCACCGACGUCUAAUGGUAUUCAAAAGGUCAAAUGAAACGUUAAUUUGGACGUCAUAUUAGUGAGAUAAUCGACGUCUAUGUCGAUAUAGACGUCGGUGUUUGGAGCAACCGACACCCAAGUUCAUUUUAAAUACAACCGCAAACUCUUCGCGGCAUUCAGUUUCUGAUAUCGUUUUCCUCUUCUCCAUUUUCUCUUGCGGCCUCUUCCUUUUCUCGCAUGCGACACCUCUUCUUUUUCUCUCUGCCUCU